rnacentral:lncRNA from 1 species
GGUUCUGAAGUCCUUACUGACUUCAUGCCUGUCUGAGUGCAAUCUCACACCAGUUCUCCUUCCAGCUGGUACCAUCUCGUCUUUCUCCUAUCUUCACCAGGAGCUAAAUUUUCCCUUUUUCAUUGCUGCUAAGGGAGCAGAAGUGGGAGACAUCUCCAUGGCUUCUCUGGCUCUGUAGGGAUUGAAAAGAUCUGCAUCCUUUGCCUUGUUUGAUGAGGAAAUCAAGACUAUUUUAUCAUUUCCAUCACUGAAGGAGCCUGAAGUGUCUGGAAACUGCUUGGAAUGUUGAUCUUCAGAUCUAAGAUAUUUCAUGAGGAUGAUGGUGUUUUUAUUUAAAGUUCGGACUUUAAAUGCAAGUCUAAAAGCCACCUGGACACCUAAGGAUCUAGGUGUUUUUAAAGUGAAUAUGUAGUCAUAUCCCCUGCUGUCUCCCUCUUAUUAAAAUAGUGUCUUUUUGCAGCCUAUGAGAAGAGAAAGCUUGUAUCUUGCACUCCUCUUUUAGGAGCAUUUGAAAUCAUUAACACCAUUUUGUAAACAUAUUUUGAGAUGACA